rnacentral:rRNA from 1 species
UACAGAGGUCCCAGGCGUUGUUCGGAUUCACUGGGCGUAAAGGGUGCGCAGGUGGCAUGGUAAGUUCGAUGUGAAAGCCCCGGGCUUAACCCGGGAAAGGCAUUGGAUACUACUGUGCUGGAGGAUUGGAGGGGGGACUGGAAUUCUUGGUGUAGCAGUGAAAUGCGUAGAUAUCGGGAGGAACACCAGUGGCGAAGGCGACUACCUGGCCUGUUUCUUGACGCUGAGGCGCGAAAGCUAGGGGAGCAAACGGG